CCUGGUUGUUAUUGAAACGGAUGGGUUUUUCCUAAAAUACUUGAUCUUGAACCCAUUGUAUCAAAGACUUCAGGUUUCUAACAGAGAUGCGUUUGAAUGACGUCAUGUCAGUUGAUUUGCAGAAUGUGGAUCGCAGCUGUUUGUCCUGCUCAGUAGCUGUUAAGUUCCACUUGAAUCUCAUUAGGGAGAGAAUCAGUGACAAAUCCACACCCUUGUCCAGAGCUCAAUUUGACUGCAAAUGGUCUUGACCCCAGGGAGGUGCGUGUAGCCACAGUGAGGUGGAUUGCCAAGCAUGGCCGUUCUGCCGAGGGGAAACUCCACAUCCUUGAAUGCAAGAUGAUGAAUGAAGUCCUGGCAGCUUCCCGUGUCCCAGGCCUUGUAGAAAUAAAUGAGACAGACGUGCUUCACAGUUCUAAUGGGCAUCACACCGGAAGCAUUAAAAGGAGCCCCGCCGUUGCCUGUUGAGAAGGCUCUGUGCUCUCAGGCGUGGUUUCCGAUUGAAUCCAGAGGUUACAAGCAUGCCUCCCUGUAUUACCUGUCGGAGCAGGUUUAAUUUUAUAAAUUUCUAGACACAAACUCUAUGAGUUUCUAGUUCAUAGUUGUUCUUUUUGAGGAUCCACUCAGACGAACAGUAUUACAUCUGUAAGAGAUAACGCACUCCCACUGCCCAGAACUGGUUGAGGAAUCAGUGGCAACAAACUCCAUCAGUAGCAUCGUCCAAUGCAUGAUGGGAAGGACAGAGGGCAAGGAAUCCCUCCUGGGGAGAGUCAUACUGUGCCGGAACCACAGCUGCCCAGAACCAUAGUGAUACUACACCAGCGAUUUUCCCCCCCACUUGAACACGGUAGAUGCUUACUACUGUAAAGCCACGCACAAAGCCUGGCUGUGGCUCCAAUCCAUUGUCAUUAGUUACUUCCUUGGACACUCAAAAACACUGAAAGUUAUAAACUUUCAUUUUUAAAAUCAUUUGUAAUGUAGCUUUGAGAAAACCCAGGGUUCAACACACUGUCCUGAACCCUUUGCUCCGACCUCUCUACCCUGUUGGGCAAGCAGCAGGCACUCAGGUGGAGAUGAGGAGCCUUGUGGGAGAGGAGGGAACAUGGUGACGGUCAGGCCUACUGCAUGGUAGUCUGACACACUUGAUGAGUCAUUUCCUAGGAGCUUCUAAUUCAGACAGAGAUGGUGACAGGCCGCUGCAGAUUUCCAGACUGAUCUGUGUUGUUGACAACCACCAGUGUUCACACAAUACUGGGGGAGGGGGACUCAAAAACUCAGAUAUCAGCAUCGUUUAUACCCAAAAGAAUAUUUUUAAUCAUCCCUUUGUUUGUUUUGUCUAAAAGAUUAAAGUGCUUGGAAUUCUUGAUCUGUGGUCCCUUGGAAUGUAAUCAACGAGAACCUGACACUUCCCACAGUAUGCUGUCACUUUGGACAUUCAUAAUAAAAGCUG
rnacentral:lncRNA from 1 species